UACGUAGGGUGCGAGCGUUAAUCGGAAUUACUGGGCGUAAAGCGUGCGCAGGCGGUUCGUUGUGUCGGCGGUGAAAGCCCCGGGCUUAACCUGGGAAUGGCCGUUGAAACUGGCGAACUGGAGUGUGGCAGGAGGGGGGGGUGGAAUUCCGCGUGUAGCAGUGAAAUGCGUAGAGAUGCGGAGGAACACCGAUGGCGAAGGCAGCCCCCUGGGCUAACACUGACGCUCAGGCACGAAAGCGUGGGGAGCAAACAGG
rnacentral:rRNA from 1 species